UUCCGGUUGAUCCUGCCGGACCUGACUGCUAUCGGAUUGAUACUAAGCCAUGCGAGUCUUUGCAGUAAUGCAAGGCAUACGGCUCAGUAACACGUAGUCAACUUACCCUAUGGACGAGGAUAAUCUCGGGAAACUGAGCAUAAUACUCGAUAGAUCAUAAUGCCUGGAAUGGUUUAUGGUUGAAAUGAUUCGUCGCCAUAGGAUGGGACUGCGGCCUAUCAGCUUGUUGGUGAGGUAAUGGCCCACCAAGGCGAUUACAGGUACGGGCUCUGAGAGGAGAAGCCCGGAGAUGGGUACUGAGACAAGGACCCAGGCCCUAUGGGGCGCAGCAGGCGAGAAAACUUUGCAAUGUGCGAAAGCACGACAAGGUUAAUCCGAGUGAUUUCUGCUAAAGAAAUCUUUUGCAAGUCAUAAAACCACUAGUGAAUAAGGGGUGGGCAAGUUCUGGUGUCAGCCGCCGCGGUAAAACCAGCACCUCAAGUGGUCAGGAGGAUUAUUGGGCCUAAAGCAUCCGUAGCCGGCUCUGUAAGUUUUCGGUUAAAUCCAUGUGCUCAACAUAUGGGCUGCCGAAAAUACUGCAUAGCUAGGGAGUGGGAGAGGUAGACGGUACUCGGUAGGAAGGGGUAAAAUCCUUUGAUCUAUCGAUGACCACCUGUGGCGAAGGCGGUCUACCAGAACACGUUCGACGGUGAGGGAUGAAAGCUGGGGGAGCAAACCGGAUUAGAUACCCGGGUAGUCCCAGCUGUAAACGAUGCAGACUCGAUGAUGCAUUGGCAUAUAGCCAGUGCAGUGUCGCAGGGAAGCCGUUAAGUCUGCCGCCUGGGAAGUACGUACGCAAGUAUGAAACUUAAAGGAAUUGGCGGGGGAGCACCACAAGGGGUGAAGCCUGCGGUUCAAUUGGAGUCAACGCCGG
rnacentral:rRNA from 1 species